UUGGGUUGGCCAAAAAGUUCAUUUGAAUUUUUCUAUAACAUCUUACAAAAAAAUUGGAAUGAACUUUUUGGCCAAUUCAA
rnacentral:miRNA from 1 species